AACGAACGCUGGCGGCAGGCUUAACACAUGCAAGUCGAACGCCCCGCAAGGGGAGUGGCAGACGGAUGAGUAACGCGUGGGAAUCUACCCAAUUCUACGGAACAACUGAGGGAAACUUCAGCUAAUACCGUAUACGCCCUACGGGGGAGAGAUUUAUCGGAAUUGGAUGAGCCCGCGUUGGAUUAGCUAGUUGGUGGGGUAAUGGCCUACCAAGGCGACGAUCCAUAGCUGGUCUGAGAGGAUGAUCAGCCACACUGGGACUGAGACACGGCCCAGACUCCUACGGGAGGCAGCAGUGGGGAAUAUUGGACAAUGGGCGAAAGCCUGAUCCAGCCAUGCCGCGUGAGUGAUGAAGGCCUUAGGGUUGUAAAGCUCUUUCAGUGGGGAAGAUAAUGACGGUACCCACAGAAGAAGCCCCGGCUAACUUCGUGCCAGCCGCCGCUGUAA
rnacentral:rRNA from 1 species